rnacentral:rRNA from 1 species
AGGAAUAUUCCUUUAAAAGUAAUGCCUAAGGAUGAGUUGGCGGCUGAUUAGGUUGUUGGUGGGGUAAUGGCCUACCAAGCCGGGGAUCAGUAGGGGCUUUGAGAGAGGUAGCCCCGAGAAGGGCACUGAGAUACUGGCCCCAACCCUACGGGGUGCAGCAGGCGCGAAACCUUUACAAUGCACGAAAGUGUGAUAAGGGAAUUCCAAGUGCUUAUGCUAUGCAUAGGCUUUUGUUAAGAGUAAAUAUCUUGGCGAAUAAGUGGUGGGCAAGACUGGUGCCAGCCGCCGCGGUAACACCAGCGCCACGAGUGGCAACCAUGUUUAUUGGGCCUAAAGCGUCCGUAGCCGGAUUAAUAAAUCUUUUGUGAAAUUGUUAAGCUUAACUUAACAGCGUGCAGAAGACACUAUUAAUCUUGGGACCGGGAGGAGUCAGAAGUAUUUCUUGGGGAGCGGUAAAAUGCUAUAAUCCUUGAAAGACUACCUGUGGCGAAGGCGUCUGACUAGAACGGAUUCGACGGUGAGGGACGAAAGCCAGGGGAGCGAACCGGAUUAGAUACCCGAGUAGUCCUGGCCGUAAACGCUGUGAGCUAGGUGUUGCAUAUUCUACAUGAAUAUGCAGUGUCGAAACGAAGGUGUUAAGCUCACCGCCUGGGAAGUACAGUCGCAAGACCGAAACUUAAAGGAAUUGGCGGGGGAGCACCACAAGGGGUGCGGCGUGCGGUUUAAUCUAACUCAACGCAGAAAAUCUCACCAUGGGCGACGGCAGGAUGACAGUCAGGCUAAAGGUCUUACUUGACGAGCCGAGAGGUGGUGCAUGGCCGCCGUCAGCUCGUGCCGUAAGGUGUCCUGUUAAGUCAGGUAACGAGCGAGACCUGUACCCACAAUUGCUAACGACCUCUGGGAUCGAGCACUAUGUGGGGACUGCCUUGGAAACAAGGAGGAAGGUGCAGGCAACGGUAGGUCUGUAUGCCCCGAAUCUCACGGGCUACACGCGCGCAACAAUGGUUGGGACAAUGGGAUACAACUCCGAAAGGAGAAGUUAAACCUCUAAACCCAAUCUUAGUCCAGAUUGAGGAUUGUAACUCAUCCUCAUGACGAUGGAAUCCCUAGUAAUCGGAUCUCACUACGGUCCGGUGAAUAUGUCCCUGCUCCUUGCACACACCGCCCGUCAAACCACUCGAGUAGGGUCUAGAUGAGGAUUAGGUUUUUGCUUGAUACGAAUCUAAGCUCAGCGAGAUGGGUUAAGUCGUCACAAGGUA